AUUCAGUUUUUCUUGAAUCCGAGUCCAGCAUUUUAUUCAUUACACUACCUAGCUCCUUGCAUGUCUGAUAAAGUGAUUACCCUGAAAUAUCUCUUCCAUCUCAUUAGAGGCAUCUUUGACACCCCCAGAUAUAACAAGAUGUCCCAUUUUCUUAUUAACUUUCCUGAAUGUCCUUCGUCCUCAGAGUAAUGCUCCCUGAGAAUGUUAAGCAUAUGCUUAACAGUUUGCUGCUAAGGUGCAAAGAUUUUCGCUAGUUUAUUACAUAUAGUUUAUGAUACAUUUUGUACAUUUAAAAAUAAUAUAUCAAAUUUGUAUAGUACGUCAUAGUUUACUAAUGAAAAGAACUGUCCCAAUUUGUUAAGAGUUUCAACACACGGUAAAAAUUCACCAUUAAUUUUUCUCUCCCUCGCAAUCAUUUGGAGGGCAAAUAAGUUUAGAGGGCUUGUAUGUUCCCUCUUGCUAGAUUCAUUUUAUGUGACAUCCAUUUGCCCCCCACUAAAUAGUUGGAGAAAAUACAAAGCAACUGAUUCAUUAAGCCGGAAGCAUAUUGUGUGUUCAGCAGGAUGCAGUGGUUAAUUUACUAUUCACAACAAGGGAAGAGACACUUUUCAAUACAGAUUUGCUGCUUUUAACCUGGAAGCUUACCAGCAAAAGCAAUCCUGCUUGGCUUUGUUUCUUUUCAGCACACAAAGAAAGCAAUAUCUACUUUGUUACAAAACAGAGAGCAGGAAGAGCUUCAAAGCAUCUUUGGAGUGUUUGCGAGAGAAGACAGCUGGCAUCGCUUGGAGACUAAACUGAGAUGGCCAGAUUUCUAAUUUAUAAAACUGGGACAGCACACGUCAGGGGAACAUCAUCCGGGGCUUUGUGAAGAUAUAUCUCCAGCUAUUUCCCUUUGUCAGGUAAAGUCUUGUUCACUGGGGUGCUGGGGAGCAGGAGAGGAAAGGGAGAUAAUAAUGCUAAAAGUAUGUACUUAGAGGCUCAAUAAUUGUUCAGUCAAAAAUGAGUAUAGCACAAAUUGAAUCGUCAAAUUUGAAAUAGUA
rnacentral:lncRNA from 1 species